rnacentral:rRNA from 1 species
AUUGAACGCUGGCGGCAGGCCUAACACAUGCAAGUCGAGCGGAUCGGCGGACGGGUGAGUGAUGCCAAGGAAUCUGCCUGGUAGUGGGGGAUAACGUCCGGUACCGGGAGCUAAUACCGCAUACUAUUAGAUUCGCCUAGGUCGGAUUAGCUAGUUGGUGGGGUAAAGGCCUACCAAGGCGACGAUCCGUAACUGGUCUGAGAGGAUGAUCAGUCACACUGGAACUGAGACACGGUCCAGACUCCUACGGGAGGCAGCAGUGGGGAAUAUUGGACAAUGGGCGAAAGCCUGAUCCAGCCAUGCCGCGUGUGUGAAGAAGGUCUUCGGAUUGUAAAGCACUUUAAGUUGGGAGGCGUUACCAACAGAAUAAGCACCGGCUAACUUCGUGCCAGCAGCCGCGGUAAUAC